UGCACGCGCACCGCGCCUCACCUGCCCCUUGCGCCCUGAGGCCACACCUGCGCAUUGGAGUCCCGCCACCAGUUUCCGGCUUUGCAGGAAGGAAACGCAAGGAGAGAGGAAAGGACGGGGCUGGCUCUUCCUCCGGACCCGGGAGGCCGAGUGCUCUGUGCCCCCGCGGGGUCGUGGACCCGUCCUGGGGUGGGUGCAGUGAAGGGGGAGGCUGAGAAGCCACAACUGUUGUCACACAACUGCGGGAGGCAUCUGCCCCAAGGGAAACCUUAGAAGAAAUAACGUGUGGACGGACCAGUCUUUUGGAAACACAUUCCUUUGAGACAGAGGAACACCUGCAGUUACUACUGGAAGCAGUUGUUUGUGUGGGAGAGACAACACUCAUAUUCAUCUAGCCGUGUUAGAAGGCUUGGAGCUGCUGGGGUGGCCAGAGAUGACGAAGAUGCUUUAAAACGUUAAAGUCAUGUUGAAAACAGACAAGGAGACAGAGGCUGUGGACGCCUACAGGGAGGCUGUGGCGACAGCCUGGGUGUGAGAUGGUCCAACCGGAAGUUCCAGUCAGCUCAAGCCCCUGUGGCUUAUGGCUGUGUUGUGAAGCUCUACACACAGACCCUCUGGAAAUGACGGGAGACCUCAAGGAGAGAGGGUGCCCCCCGGGUCAGGAGCAGCCACCUACCCCUCAUCUGUUACUUCCCUCCCUGGAACCGUAACCCAAAGUGAGGAGACGCUGGCAUUCCUGGCAGUGCUCAGCGUUGGAUUCAUCCACCCAUCCAUCCACUCAUCAGCCCAUCCAUCCAUUCAAUCGACAUCGCCAAUUCAAUGGACAUGAACUUGGGCAAAC